rnacentral:lncRNA from 1 species
CACGACCAACACCUGAGAUCAUUACCUAAAAACCACCAAUAAAUUAGAGAGAAGUCUCUCAAUUCCAUCACAUAAGCUUAAAUUUUGUUUAUCUUCAAUGGAAGGAAAAGCAAUGCGUUUGACACUGGUGUUUGCUUUGGUGGUUGCGACAUUCUUGGCUGCAAAUCAACAAACUCAUUUUGCCGAGGGUUCACGUUCCCCAUCAUUCAAGGUCCAACAAAGCCCGAGCCCUUCUCCUGAAGAUUUGGCCAACUGCCAUCCACAUGAAUGUGAAGCUUCAUGCAGGGCUGAUCUCCGGGAGGAAUACAUAAGCUUCCAAUGCAUACCUACUGGCCGUGACGUAACUGUUGGUGUGUGUUUUAUCAAAGAUGUUAUAAGUAGCCCUACACCAAAUGUGGCUGUGUAAUAUGUAAGCAGUUACAAUAACAAUGCAUGCGUUGAUAAACAAACGUUUUCAUACCAUUGAUACAGUAUUUCUCUCGUUUAAUAUUCCAAAAAAAAUAACUUUAGACCCUAAAAUUCAAUUUUCUCUAUAAAAAACACGACAUGAUUUUUGCUCACAGAAAUCUGUUGAUGCACAAAAUCAGCGAGGACUUUGGUACAACAGAAAGUGUCAGGUUUGUGACCUUCGCUUGGUUGCUUCGAUCACUAAUGAAGAUAAGUACGUAAAUGAAUAGGGAUAGGGAAGCAAACACAAGAUGUACGUGGUUCACCCAGAUCGGCUACGUCCACGGAGUAGAGGAGUUCUCAUUAAUUAUGAAGGGUUUACACAAAUACAUAGGUUCAAGCUCUCAUUUUGUGAGUUCUAGUGAAUAGUUUAGUACAAAAUG